GAUGAAUGCUGGCGGCGUGCUUAACACAUGCAAGUCGAGCGGUAACAGGAGUAGUUUACUACUUGCUGACGAGCGGCGGACGGCUGAGUAACGCGUGGGAACAUGCCCCAAAGUGAGGAAUAACUGCCCGAAAGGGUAGCUAAUGCCGCAUAUGAUCUUCGGAUUAAAGGAUUUAUCCGCUUUGGGAGUGGCCUGCGUAUGAUUAGGUAGUUGGUGAGGUAAUGGCUCACCAAGCCGACGAUCAUUAGCUGGUCUGAGAGGAUGACCAGCCAGACUGGAACUGAGACACGGUCCAGACUCCUACGGGAGGCAGCAGUGAGGAAUAUUCCACAAUGGGCGAAAGCCUGAUGGAGCAACGCCGCGUGAAGGAUGAAGGCCCUCGGGUUGUAAACUUCUUUUAUAAGUGAAGAAUAUGACGGUAACUUAUGAAUAAGCACCGGCUAACUACGUGCCAGCAGCCGCCGUAACA
rnacentral:rRNA from 1 species